AAUAGAUACCCGGGUAGUCCACGCCGUAAACGAUGAAUACUAGGUGUGGGGGUUGUCAUGACCUCCGUGCCGCCGCUAACGCAUUAAGUAUUCCGCCUGGGGAGUACGGUCGCAAGAUUAAAACUCAAAGGAAUUGACGGGGGCCCGCACAAGCAGCGGAGCAUGUGGUUUAAUUCGAAGCAACGCGAAGAACCUUACCUAGACCUUGACAUCUCCUGAAUUACUCUGUAAUGGAGGAAGCCCUUCGGGGCAGGAAGACAGGUGGUGCAUGGUUGUCGUCAGCUCGUGUCGUGAGAUGUUGGGUUAAGUCCCGCAACGAGCGCAACCCUUAUUGUUAGUUGCUACCAUUUAGUUGAGCACUCUAGCGAGACUGCCCGGGUUAACCGGGAGGAAGGUGGGGAUGACGUCAAAUCAUCAUGCCCCUUAUGUCUAGGGCUACACACGUGCUACAAUGGCUGGUACAGAGAGAUGCAAUACCGUGAGGUGGAGCCAAACUUUAAAACCAGUCUCAGUUCGGAUUGUAGGCUGAAACUCGCCUAC
rnacentral:rRNA from 1 species